rnacentral:piRNA from 1 species
AAUGUAUGCGUGUGACCUGUGUGAC